rnacentral:lncRNA from 1 species
CAAGCAAGCAGACCCCAGUAUUAGCAUAGCCAAGCUCAAUGUAAAAACUCACAGUAAAUCAGCCUCACUGCAGCCAAACCACAUGUAAAAGCAAGCUGUGAAAUAUUCAGCAUUGCCAAACCACAUGUAAAAGCAAGCUGAAAACCACCCUCUGCAUAACCAAGUUCUAUAUAAAUCAGUGAUGGAGAACAGUUGAGGUGGGUGUGCUUACUGGAAUAACUCAAGGCCACCGAGAAGCCCGUUGCUCAAUUCAUCCUCUGUCCCACCAAAUGUCCAAGCGGCAGCUUUGAACAACGCACCAGAUAGACCUGCUCCCAAGUCGUUAGUCAUCAGGCUCAUCUUUAACAAUUGUGCCAUCUUGAGCGCUACCAACAAAUACAGAAGGGUGAAGCCAGGCUGGUAGAGAGCAGUAGGGGGUUACGGUAGGUUG